rnacentral:rRNA from 1 species
GGGGAAUAUUGCGCAAUGGGCGAAAGCCUGACGCAGCCACGCCGCGUGUGUGAUGAAGGCCCUCGGGUCGUAAAGCACUGUCGGGAGGAAAGAAUACUGACGGUACCUCCCAAGAAAGCACCGGCUAACUCCGUGCCAGCAGCCGCGGUAAUACGGAGGGUGCAAGCGUUGCUCGGAAUCACUGGGCGUAAAGCGUACGCAGGCGGCGCGUUAAGUCGGGUGUGAAAGCCCGGGGCUCAACCCCGGAUGUGCAUUCGAUACUGGCGUGCUCGAGUUCGGGAGAGGGAAGCGGAAUUCCUGGUGUAGAGGUGAAAUUCGUAGAUAUCAGGAGGAACAUCAGUGGCGAAAGCGGCUUCCUGGCCCGAUACUGACGCUCAUGUACGAAAGCGUGGGGAGCAAAC